CCCUUUCCUUGCCAUUCGUGAAAUCUGGAACAGGAGCGUCUUUAGGUCGAUCAAUUAGUGUGGAUCCGGCCUCACCACGCCUCCAAGUCAUUCUAUUAGUCUAGAUCCGGCUAGCAAUUCUAGCUGGGACUCCCAGUUCUAGCUCCUUUUGUUUAGCGUGUCAGAGACUGGGAGAAGAUGAUUGGCACUCCCUGGCUCCUUUGGAUGUACAGCUGUCCAGAUCCCUAGAACAUACCCUCCAUUCUGACGAGUUAUCAGUGCAUAGGGUGCUUACUAGAUUCUUGCCAGCCAGUACAGUUCAAGCUACACACAGCACCGCUCAACUAUUCUCUACCCCAUUAUCUAGCUAAAUCUGGUCCAACUAGACAGCAGACACAGCUAGUUAAUUCAGUAAAGCCAGGGGUAGCCCUACUUCUACGGUUGUUCAGUACCCACGGUAACAAUUCCUCUGGGCUGGGCUAACUAGUUGAGCCACGCCUCCCAAUUCUCAAGGCUAGGUACAUGUCUCUGUCUAGCUGCUUCUUCAGCUUCUUGCUCAGUUUUGUGGCUUAGAGAAAGGCCAGCUACUCAGGGGGAAGAGUCCAGAUGAAAGUCUGGCAGCCAGGUGACGUCCAAACGGUCAGUUAUUCUUUCCACCAACUUUUUAAUCUAGUCUAGUCCUGCUUGCACUGCUACUACUACUGCUGCCUACUGCUGCUACUCUUCCUAGCUAGUCAAAGGUUUCUUUUUUUUUUUUACAACUACAUAUGCACAAAGAGACAUCAAAGCUUACAUCAAAGGACACAGAUUUUUAGCCUACUUGACUGAUAAGGCGGUUACCUAGACUACAGUUUGUUUGUCAGGGAGGAGCUCACAUACAACUUCAUCUAAUUCAUCAUAACGAUUCCUUACCCAUUGUUGUAAUUUCUACAACAGAUUGCCAAGGAAAGAGAUAAUGAGAUAGAAAUCCAAGAAUAAAAUCUGAUGCAGGCGGUGGACCAGAAACCAGAGUAUCACUUGGAGUGGCCUAAUGGAGAGGCUUUAUUCGGACUUGGCUGAUUUCGUUGAAACAAAGCCAGACACGAAUCUCACUACUAGAAUUUGUAUUCUGUAUGAUGUAUCCAAAGGUCUUCGCUACCUUCACUCUCUGACCCCUCCCCUUAUCCAUCGUGACCUCACUGCUCCCAACAUCCUGCUCACUGAGGGUCUCACAGCCAAGAUCGGAGACUUGGGAAUGUCCAGAUUCAUUGAACAGGAGCGUUUAACUCAUUUUCUGACAAACAUUCCUGGAAAUCCAAAAUACAUGCCUCCCGAGUGCUACGAUGAAUACCCUAUCUAUACUACCAAGCUGGACAUCUUCUCAUUCGGUCAUCUCAUCGUUCACACUGUUAUCGGAUACUUUCCUAAUGUCUUCAACAUACCUCGAGAAGAUCGAAACCAUGCCAAGUACAUUAGUGAGGGUAAAGUCGAGCUCAUGCGACGAAAAUCUGCUAUCAUUAGUGACAAAAUGGGUGAGAAACACGCUCUUUAUCCUCUUGUUGUUCGCUGCCUUCACGACCACCCCGAGCAGAGACCAUCAGUUGAGGAAGUGAUCAGCUCAGUCAGAGAGCUGUGUCCCAGACCCACAAUGUCAUUUCUUGAGGCUUGCAAAACUGGUAAUGUGGGUGUGGUUCAAGAGCUACUGGAGUGUGGGGCUGAUCCAAAUCAGGCAGAUGAGUGUAACAAGACUGCUAUUUACUGGGCCAGUGACAAUGGACAUGAUGGGGUUGUGCUUGCCCUUACUAAAUCUGGGGCUAACGUACACACUCAGUCAAAGUCGGGACAGAGUCCUCUUUGGAUAGCCAGUUUCAAUGGUCACCAGAAAUGUGUGGGCUUACUAAUCGAUGCUGGAGCCAAUGUGGAUAUUCAAAACAAAGAUGGAGCAACUGCAUUGAUAGUGGCUGCUCACAAAGGUUAUUGUGGAGUUGUUAGAAUAUUGUUGGAGGCCAAGGCUGAUGUCCAUAUCAAGACUAAUAACUGACCUGAUAUCAAGAUUUCCAGAUUCUGGAAACUUUCUGACAUUUUUGGAGGAGAAUCUGCUUCCCAACCGUCCUUGUGUGUUUGGAGAGUCCUUCACUAGAGGAUGGAAGGCACGGCAAGAAUGGAGGAAUGUCGGCGACACACCUAACAUAGACUUUUUGGAGGAACAUUUUGAGAUUUUCCCAACUACAAGGCGUACACUGUACCUGACUUCUUCAAGAGUGACUGGCUGAAUGAAGUGUGGUCUGCAAGAUUGGAUGUCUCGGAUGAUUACAGAUUUGUAUACAUUGGUCCCAAAGGAACAUGG